rnacentral:rRNA from 1 species
CGGGGUGAGUAACGCGUGGGUAACCUGCCUUGUACUGGGGGACAACAGUUGGAAACGACUGCUAAUACCGCAUAAGCGCACAGCUUCGCAUGAAGCAGUGCGAAAAACUCCGGUGGUACAAGAUGGACCCGCGUCUGAUUAGCUGGUUGGUGAGGUAACGGCCCACCAAGGCGACGAUCAGUAGCCGGCCUGAGAGGGUGAACGGCCACAUUGGGACUGAGACGCGGCCCAA